rnacentral:rRNA from 1 species
AUUGAACGCUGGCGGCAGGCCUAACACAUGCAAGUCGAACGCGCGUCGCGCGGGGGUGUAUUGUCUGGGAAACUGCCUGAUGUAGGGGGGUAACUACUGGAAACAGUAGCUAAUACCCCAUACCAUCAGAUGUGCCCAGAUGGGAUUAGCUAGUAGGUGGGGUAACGGCUCACCUAGGCGACGAUCCCUAGCUGGUCUGAGAGGAUGACCCGCCACACUGGAACUGAGACACGGCCCAGACUCCUACGGGAGGCAGCAGUGGGGAAUAUUGCACAAUGGGGGCAAGCCUGAUGCAGCCAUGCCGCGUGUGUGAAGAAGGCCUUCGGGUUGUAAAGUACUUUCAGCGGGGAGGCGGUACCCGCAGAAGAAGCACCGGCUAACUCCGUGCCAGCCGCCGCGGUAAUAC